rnacentral:rRNA from 1 species
CUUUUUGAUUAUUUUAGCGGCGGACGGGUGAGUAACGUGUGGGUAACCUGCCUUUUACUGUGGAAUAAUCGUUGGAAACGACGACUAAUACCGCAUACGAUUUUUUGAAGGCAUCUUUGGGAAAAGAAAGGAAAUAUUCGGUAAAAGAUGGGCCCGCAUCUGAUUAGCUAGUUGGUGAGAUAAUAGCCCACCAAGGCAACGAUCAGUAGCCGACCUGAGAGGGUGACCGGCCACAUUGGGACUGAGACACGGCCCAAACUCCUACGGAAGGCAGCAG